rnacentral:rRNA from 1 species
GCGAACGGGUGAGUAACACGUGGGCAAUCUGCCCUGCACUCUGGGAUAACUCCGGGAAACCGGAGCUAAUACCGGAUACGACCUUCCAGGGCAUCCUGGGGGGUGGAAAGCUCCGGCGGUGCAGGAUGAGCCCGCGGCCUAUCAGCUGGUUGGUGGGGUGACGGCCCACCAAGGCGACGACGGGUAGCCGGCCUGAGAGGGCGACCGGCCACACUGGGACUGAGACACGGCCCAGACUCCUACGGGAGGCAGCAGUGGGGAAUAUUGCACAAUGGGCGCAAGCCUGAUGCAGCGACGCCGCGUGAGGGAUGACGGCCUUCGGGUUGUAAACCUCUUUCAGCAGGGAAGAAGCGCAAGUGACGGUACCUGCAGAAGAAGCACCGGCUAACUACGUGCCAGCAGCCGCGGUAAUACGUAGGGUGCGAGCGUUGUCCGGAAUUAUUGGGCGUAAAGAGCUCGU